AGAGGGAGAAAGAGAUAUCGACCGGAACCUCACUAGACAUAAUCAUAUAUCGUCCAAGAUUGGACUUUGAAUUGCCGAACGGGGAGGACUCAACCCAAUUUGAAUUUUAAUUUACAGGAAUGGUUUUCCAUCGAGCAAUUUGUUAGGAAAGCUAGUCGCAACGGGCCAAUACGUCAGUGUCCGAAAAACCCAUUAAAGAAACAAGAACAA